UCUUGUCUAAUUUGAAUUAAUCUUCACAAAUCUACUCAAAUUGUAACGUUUUAAAUCAACAUUGACAAACAACUUGAUCAGGUUAACUUUCAAAUUUAAAAGCUAACUUAUGAUUAUAUUAAUCCAAAUGAACUUAAUUAUAUUGAUCGAUAGUAAUCAAUGUAAAGAUUGACGAUUAGUGAUCAUGUUGAUCUUAAGCUUCUUUUUAAUUGAUUAUUUUCAAUCUCCUUUUCAACAACUAAGAUCAUUAAGACCACUGAAUAAUUAUCUCAACAAUUUAAACCCUUCUUUUUAUAACUCAUGGAAAUUGAAUUGUAAUUGAUUAUCUUGGUGAACUUUUUUUUCUCUCCAUCUUUCCAUUACCAAUACGAAGGCAAAGAGAAGAGGAAAAAUAAUGGUUAUUAUGUGUUUGCCCUUCUCUUGGGACAAGACCAAUAAUAAUAAAUGGAGUUACCUUUAGAUUUGCUUGUUACCUUUAUGUGAAUCGAGGUGAUAAUUUGAGGAGGAAACCAUUGAUUUAAUUAGAUGUGUUGUCAAGUUAAUUUACUUACAAUCCUUUACAUGAUGAUGAUGCUGAUCGUCUUUGAAUGUGUCCUGAAUUUUUAAAAAGCUUCAUAACCCUAAACCCUUUUGUUAUUGUCCCAUUGUUAUGGUUUAACUUUCUACUUAUCUUUUUUCAUGGUAAAUCUAAAUUUUAUUAACUACAAUGGACACACACACAUACACAUCACAAACGGACAAAAAGGAUGAGGAUGAAAUAAAAUUGGACAAUAAACAAAUUCACCUCCUCCUACUGCUGAUACACUCUCAUCAUCAUCAUCAUUGACAAUUCACCAGUGACAGUUACAAUAAUUACCAUCGGAUUAAAGAGGAGAGAGAGAGAGAGAGAGGAUGAAGAUGGUGAUAAGCUAAAUAAUUUGUGUCCAUAAUAUUUUAUUGUUAUGAUAUCAUUAAUAUAGUUGACUGAAUAAAUAUAUUCUAUGAAAUUUUAUUGGUAAUCAUUAUCAUCAUCAUGAUGAGAUAAUCAAAUGGACACACGGCGGUGGAAUCUAUGGUGAUUUAAGUUUUCCUCAUCUUGGUCAUCAUCGAUUUAAUAUCAUUAACUUGUAAUCAAAUCAAUUUCGAUCAAAUCUGAUUUAAGCUUAUGCUGAGAAUUCUUCGUGUAUAAUCAUUCGCUAAUCAUGAUCAUCAUUGAUUUCGAAUAAUAUUCUAUUUGGUCUACCAAUAUAAUGAUGGAUGAUUCCAAAUAAUAACAUUCUAAAUACUAUUCUGAAUAUUGUUGAUCUCUAUUUGCCCAUAAAAGAUGAGGAUUCUCACCCACUUAUCAUAAUCAUCAUCAUAUCUACUCCUCUUAUGGUCAUAAACCUUUAUUUUUUUAGUACUAUGAUGACCUCGUCAAAUCAACAUUAAACAAUAAUGUUAUCUUCACAUGAAACGAUAAUCCCUUUAUGUGAAACUGGAAUCAGAAUCCAUUGAAAGGAGACACAAACAACAAUCUAAUUCCGAGAAAUUUUCAUUAAAUUGCCUCAAUGUUCCAAUUAUUUAAUAGCUUUCAAUAUUUACUCUUGACUUUUUCCCCUCUCGAACUGAGUAUUCAUGGUAAUCUAAUUAAUGAGUGAAUUUAAUUAACGAGGCAAGAGAAGCAAAAAAAAACAACAGCAAUCAAGGAUUAAACAAACAGUUAACUGCCUUUAUCAAUCUACAAAUUAUGUGUCGCUUCAUUAACUGUACACUUAAACUCAUUCAAUUAGUAAAUCAACUCAUAUCUUGAUAGAUUAAUCAUCUUGUUUAUCUCUCUAUCGGACUUAUUACUCUCCAUAUUCAUUGAUGGAUCAUUUUUCACUGUAACUCCAUCUUCAUUAACUUGCAUCAUUUCCGUUUCCUUUUGAUUUUAAUGGUUGUAAAAAGAGAACGAUAUUCUUAUGGAGUCUAAUUAAGUCAAUUAGUUCCCUGGAACCUGUUGGAUGGUUCAUUGAAAUAGUUACAUUGAUCCAAUUUAACUUAUCAUCAUCAUCAUGGGUAAUCAACUGUAAUCGAGAAAAAAAAACCUUUUUGUUUGAUUAACUAUCGGAAUUGUGAAAGCAUCAUCAUGAUAACAUGGUGACACACCCUGAACUCAAUCACCGAGAUCACUUGGAAAAUAUUACAAGAAUUCAUUUUGAUGUAACAAUAACAAGUUGAAGAAAAAAUGAAGCGAAAAUUUCAGGGUCAUAGUAAUGAGAUUAGUGAUAAAUGUACGAAAUGAACAAUAAAAAACACUUCGAAAUUGUUACCGUUGAAACCACCAAGGGAUUUCAAUGUUUCUUUUUUCCAGUUAAACUGAAAAUAAUUUCACUUUUUUGUUCACUUUUAACCAAAACCUUUUCAUCAUUUCCUUUUCCUCUUAAUCAUUUUUCCCUUCCCAUUUUUCACUAAAUCAUCCCUCCCAUUUCAUGUCCUCUCAUCAAAUGUAUCUUUUAAAUUGACCAACAGUUGAAAUUGUUACAAUUGACAAAAGUGCAUUAAAAACAUUUGACAUUUAUUUGAUUCCAUGAAAAUCAAGGCGAUCACUUUUAAACUCAAUCAACUGAUCAAAGUCAAUCAUCAGCUUGAUACACUCGCAAAGAUUGUCACGAUUAAUCAAUU